AGAGUUUGAUCCUGACUCAGAACGAACGCUGGCGGCGUGCCUAACACAUGCAAGUCCAACGUGAAAGGGGAGCAAUCCCCCGGUAGGGUGGCAAACGGGUGAGUAAUACAUGGGUGAUCUACCUUAGGGAUGGGGAUAUCCUUCCGAAAGGAGGGGCAAUACCGAAUAUUGUCCGGAGCCAUGAAGGGUUCCGGGGAAAGGGAGGCCUCUGAUACAAGCUUUCGCCUUAAGAUGAGCCCAUGGCCCAUCAGCUAGUUGGUAGGGUAAAGGCCUACCAAGGCUACGACGGGUCGCUGGUCUGAGAGGACGACCAGCCACACUGGCACUGAGAUACGGGCCAGACUCCUACGGGAGGCAGCAGUGAGGAAUAUUGCGCAAUGGGGGAAACCCUGACGCAGCAACGCCGCGUGUGGGAAGAAGGCCUUCGGGUCGUAAACCACUUUUGCACGGGACGAAAAAGGGAUAUCGAACAAAUAUCCCCGAUGACGGUACCGUGAGAAUAAGCCACGGCUAACUCUGUGCCAGCAGCCGCGGUAAGACAGAGGUGGCAAGCGUUGUUCGGAAUUACUGGGCGUAAAGAGUCUGUAGGUGGUUUGUCAAGUCUUUGGUGAAAGGCCGUAGCUUAACUAUGGGAAUGCCAAAGAGACUGGCAGGCUGGAGGCUGGGAGAGGGAAGCGGAAUUUCUGGUGUAGCGGUGAAAUGCGUAGAUAUCAGAAGGAAGGCCGGUGGCGAAGGCGGCUUCCUGGAACAGUCCUGACA
rnacentral:rRNA from 1 species